GAUGAACGCUAGCUACAGGCUUAACACAUGCAAGUCGAGGGGAAACGAUAGGGAAAGCUUGCUUUUUCUAGGCGUCGACCGGCGCACGGGUGAGUAACGCGUAUCCAACCUGCCCAUCACUUGGGGAUAACCUUGCGAAAGUAAGACUAAUACCCAAUGACGUCUCUAGAAGACAUCUGAAGGAGAUUAAAGAUUUAUCGGUGAUGGAUGGGGAUGCGUCUGAUUAGCUUGUUGGCGGGGUAACGGCCCACCAAGGCGACGAUCAGUAGGGGUUCUGAGAGGAAGGUCCCCCACAUUGGAACUGAGACACGGUCCAAACUCCUACGGGAGGCAGCAGUGAGGAAUAUUGGUCAAUGGACGAGAGUCUGAACCAGCCAAGUAGCGUGCAGGAAGACGGCCCUAUGGGUUGUAAACUGCUUUUAUAAGGGAAUAAAGUGAGUCUCGUGAGACUUUUUGCAUGUACCUUAUGAAUAAGGACCGGCUAAUUCCGUGCCAGCCGCCGCCGUAA
rnacentral:rRNA from 1 species